AGCAUCAUAUGCUGGCUGUCCGGGUGUGUAAAAUACACCUGUUAGCAAGGGCCGGGCAAGACCGGUGCCAGCCGCCGCGGUAACACCGGCGGCCCGAGUGGUGAUCGUGAUUAUUGGGUCUAAAGGGUCCGUAGCCGGUUUGGUCAGUCCUCCGGGAAAUCUGACGGCUUAACCGUUAGGCUUUCGGAGGAUACUGCCAGGCUUGGAACCGGGAG
rnacentral:rRNA from 1 species